UGGAGCAGCGGCAUCGGCCGGGGGUUUCUCCUGGAGGGUCGCAGAGAACAUCUGUUCAUGUACAAAGCUGGAAGUUCGGAGGCGCGAUUCCUUCUUCACUCACCCUGUCCUUAACACGACUGCUGAUGAAGUAAUUGGGGUGGAACUAGUUAAGAAAUAUGCAAGCAUGGGUGACAUAGGGACAAUCAAAACAGUCAAAUACAUGAAAGGAAAACUUGGACCCAAGUAACAGGAAGGAGAGUGGAGUGCAAUUUAAGUCCGAAAACUGUGGCAAACCAGCAUUGCCUGAAAGCAAAGGAAAAUACUUCAAACAGGUGAUUCCCAGGCAUCUGUGGAGACUUGAAAUUCUCAGAUGCAGAUAAAGAUGACCAACCAUUUUCUUCUGCGGUAUUCCAAAUCAUAUGCUGCUCAUUGUCAGUGACGUUACUUUUUCAGUUCAUGGAUUUGAGCUGCCUCUCCCCAUGUAACCUCUGGCAUACCAUUGUAUUCGUUUUGUUGUCCAAUAUUCUUUCCCAACAUCAUGAAGCACUGAGGAAGAUUUCUUGCUGAUCUUUGAUGCCAUUUGAGCCUAAACUGUGUUGUGUUCCCUAAAGAGAACAACCACAAUUCCUUGAAGAUUUAUGACCUGACAGAUUUCAAUAUGUUUUCCAGUGGCUGGGAUUUUAGAUAAUGUGUGAAUACUGGGUGACCCACAAUGCCAAUAACUUCAGAAAGUGCCAAGCUCUAUCUUCCUCUCCUAGAACACUGGCUGGACAUUAGACUGAAGGAAGAACAGGAAACUCCCGGACUUCAACUGUGCCAGUCAGCUAUUCAGAUGCUUUGUGAAUACAUACACUUGAAUUUUGGAGUGGGAGCAAGUGCCAGACAACCAGGUAAAAAGGAAAAAGAAGAUUUUGAAAUUUCUGUAGCUUACUUGAUCAGAGCAGAAGGAGACAAAAAUGAUCUUGGAGUGCGUUUUGGGAAUGUCCCAAUCUAUUGGGAUUCUCCAAGUGAGCAUGACAGCAAAAAGAGUAGGAAGAAAAAGAAAGAUAGCAAAGGGCCUAUGCUGGAUGUUGGCUAUAUCUGGGUUACAGAAGUCGAGAAGCACAGUCCUGCCGCAAGGUGUGAGAAGAUUAAAAUUCGAGAUGAAGUGUUGAUGUUGAACGGACAGUUGAUGGUUGGUGUUGAUGUUGCAGG